rnacentral:rRNA from 1 species
CCCUUAGAUGUUCUGGGCUGCACGCGUGCUACAAUGGCGCUUGCAACAAGUCUUGCCAACCCGAUAGGGUGAGCGGAUCUUUGAAGAGGCGUCGUGAUCGGGACAGUUGAUUGCAAUUAUUCGACUCGAACGAGGAAUUCCUUGUAAUCGCGAUUCAUCAUAUCGCGCUGAAUACGUCCCUGCCCUUUGUACACACCGCCCGUCGCUCCUACCGAUUGAGCGAUCCGGUGAAUGUUUUGGACUGGCGUCAGAAGCGGUUCGCUCCUGACACUACGAAAUUUUGUAAACCUUAUCGCUUAGAGGAAGGAAAAGGCGUAACA